CGUGCCUAAUACAUGCAAGUCGAACGCACUCUCGUUUAGAUUGAAGGAGCUUGCUCCUGAUUGAUAAACAUUUGAGUGAGUGGCGGACGGGUGAGUAACACGUGGGUAACCUGCCCUAAAGUGGGGGAUAACAUUUGGAAACAGAUGCUAAUACCGCAUAAAACCUAACACCGCAUGGUGUAGGGUUGAAAGAUGGUUUCGGCUAUCACUUUAGGAUGGACCCCGCGGUGCAUUAGUUAGUUGGUGAGGUAAAGGCUCACCAAGACCGUGAUGCAUAGCCGACCUGAGAGGGUAAUCGGCCACACUGGGACUGAGACACGGCCCAGACUCCUACGGAGGCAGCAGUAGGGAAUCUUCCACAAUGGACGAAAGUCUGAUGGAGCAACGCCGCGUGAGUGAAGAAGGUUUUCGGAUCGUAAAACUCUGUUGUUGGAGAAGAAUGUAUCUGAUAGUAACUGAUCAGGUAGUGACGGUAUCCAACCAGAAAGCCACGGCUAACUACGUG
rnacentral:rRNA from 1 species